AAAGAAGGGGCGGGGUGGGAUCUCGGUCAAAGCGGGGCUGGAGCGGCGACUGUUUUGGCUAGUCUGAGAAGGGCAUUCGAGUGACCGUUGACAACGGGUGAGGCAGCGUCAAGGCUGAAGGAAGAACCUUAACUUUAUGCUUCCAGGACUUCUAGCUAGCACUUCAACCUGAAUGAUGGCUUCAGUAAAAGCUAGCAUAAUAAAGAACUUCACUGUAAUUCCAUGAUAUUCUAACCAAGAAUACCUGCAUAUCUGAGGCAAUAAGCGAAGAGACUAGAAUAAAAUUUAAUUCCUGACAGAAAAGGGAGUGGAAAAGAAUACUAACCCUCCUCAUAGCGUCCUUCAUUGCAAGGAACAUCUAGGCGGUAUUGGGAUUUCUGGUGCUUUUUAAGGGGUGAAAGAGAGAUUAUAGUCCACUGAACAAGGAAAAAAAAUAACAUUUAGUUUGGGAAUAAAAGUUCAUCUGGAGUAUGAACUUCUUUGCCUCAAGUCAAAGAAGAAGAUAUGCUGAGACCUCAAAGAAAGGGAAUACAGACUUAAUAUUUAAAUACUACCUACCAUUCCAUGGGGCCUAGGAACUGAAGG